CCUACGGGAGGCAGCAGUGGGGAAUAUUGCACAAUGGGCGCAAGCCUGAUGCAGCCAUGCCGCGUGUGUGAAGAAGGCCUUCGGGUUGUAAAGCACUUUCAGCGGGGAGGAAGGCGUUAAGGUUAAUAACCUUGGCGAUUGACGUUACCCGCAGAAGAAGCACCGGCUACACUCCGUGCCAGCAGCCGCGGUAAUACGGAGGGUGCAAGCGUUAAUCGGAAUUACUGGGCGUAAAGCGCACGCAGGCGGUCUGUCAAGUCGGAUGUGAAAUCCCCGGGCUCAACCUGGGAACUGCAUUCGAAACUGGCAGGCUAGAGUCUUGUAGAGGGGGGUAGAAUUCCAGGUGUAGCGGUGAAAUGCGUAGAGAUCUGGAGGAAUACCGGUGGCGAAGGCGGCCCCCUGGACAAAGACUGACGCUCAGGUGCGAAAGCGUGGGGAGCAAACAGGAUUAGAUACCCUUGUAGUC
rnacentral:rRNA from 1 species